rnacentral:rRNA from 1 species
UACGGAGGGUGCGAGCGUUAAUCGGAAUUACUGGGCGUAAAGGGUGCGUAGGUGGUUUGAUAAGUUAUCUGUAAAAGCCCUGGGCUCAACCUGGGAAGGCCAGAUAAAACUGUUGAACUGGAGUAUGGGAGAGGGUAGUGGAAUUUCCGGUGUAGCGGUGAAAUGCGUAGAGAUCGGAAGGAACACCAGUGGCGAAGGCGGCUACCUGGCCUGAUACUGACACUAAAGCACGAAAGCGUGGGGAGCAAACAGG